UCGGGACGAAACAAGAGCAAAUGGUGGAUGCCUAGACAUCAAAAGACUAUGAAGGACGUAGCAGCCUGCGAUAAGCUUCGGAGAGGUGGCAAGCAACCUUUGACCCGGAGAUUUCCGAAUGGGGAAACCCACGAGAGUAAACCUCUCGGAUCCUAUCGUAAGAUGGGAUGGUAAGCCAGGGAACUGAAACAUCUAAGUACCUGGAGGAAAAUAGAACAAAUGUUUAUUCCCUUAGUAGCGGCGAGCGAAACG
rnacentral:rRNA from 1 species